rnacentral:lncRNA from 1 species
UUUAUUCUUCAAAAAAAUUUUUUUGGGUUUACGAAUAAAAUGGCAACACAGGCAUUGAUAUCUUCUUCAUCUAUUACCUCCUCAGCAGAGGCUGCCAGACAAAUUCUAGGAGCAAGACAUUUUCAACCAAUCAAGAAGGCUUCAUUCGUUGUAAGGGCUACUGCCACUCCACCUGUUAAGGUAACCACCUUUAUUGUUCCUUUCCAUGUAUAAGUAAGGGGCACAUUGAUACAUCUAGUACAUUGCUCUUCAUAUAUAUAUAAUGAUAGCGCUGUUCGAGUCAGAUUUGCAUUUUGACUAUUCCACCAGAUACUAUCACCCAUGAGAACAAGUACGGUGUACUUAUACCCAACAAAGCUUAUAUAGAUGAGAUGAAGUCACCAUGCACUGUUUGCUUCUGCUGGGGAUUUUCAGCCACUUCGAGGUCGUUUGGUUGGGAAACAAGUUACGUUUGGGAUUAGUUAUGCUAUGGUUAGUUGUAUUGGGAUUACUUAUCUUGGUAUUACUUUUUAGUGGUUGUUUGGUUUGUGGCAUUCAAAAUAAUAUGCAUUGCUUUCUUUCUAAGAAUAGAUAGUUUGUUUACAAAAAUACUCUUCAUCUUAUUUAGCUUAAUUAUUUUUUUAAUAUUAAAUCAUACAAAAAAAAUUAAAAGGUUACUAAUUUUUAUUUAACCUCAUUAGUUUCUUUUUCCUAAACAUACAUGUUAGGAAAUUUAUAUUGAUAUUUCUUAAAGAAAUUUAACCGGGGGCAGCCGCUGAUCAAUACAGACAAGGACUUCAUUUGACACAUGAGAUUAUAAAUUAACAUGCAUUUUAGAAUAAUGUCUGACCAAACAAACAGAAUAAUGCAAUAAAUACAUUAUUUUUCCUUUCUUUCCUUUCUUUUUGAUGACAGAGAAUGGCUAGAGGCAGCAGUUUGGAACUCGGUGGAUACUGUCCCUCUCUACUCUUCUCAAUUUAAUUAUCAGGCUUUUGUCAGAGGCAGGGUUCGAAUCCAUGACAUGAACCUAACCCACCAUUAUGUGUUGCUGUCUUACCACUAGACCAAAACGCUAGAUCAAUCAAGGCCUUAUUCUCUUACAUUAUUGACUAUGAAAAUUCAAAAAUGUAAUACAGAACCUCCUCAG